rnacentral:rRNA from 1 species
AUGUGGCACAUAGGCAAGUCCAGUCAGCUACUCCUAGUAGACAAGUCUGGUCUUCCAGUUCCAAGCCCAAGCCCAAACUCACACACACACACACUCGUCUCCCAUCUCUGUUCCCCGCUCCUCGACCCGCCGCCACUCACCUCCGCCGCCGUCCGGCCCUCCGCGCCGCCCAAGUUUCCGCCUCCGCGAACGCCAGUCGCGACCACGGGCUGCUCCGUCCAUGGCCCUCCUGUACCUCAUGCUCCUCCGCCGCUCGACGCCAGCAGUCCGGCCUCUCCAGUAUCAAUUUUCAAGCUUUUCUCCGCCUCCUGCCGGCCCCCGCCUCUCCCGUGCAGCCCUGAUGCAGCCACCGCCGACUGGGUCCUCCUGGAGCCGCUGGCGUACGUCGCUGACCGCACCAACGCCACCACCGCCGAAGCCAUCUCGAGGACCGGCUACACCAUCCAGGCCACCUUCUGCGCCGCCGACCCGCCGGGUGUCUCCUGCGUUUGCAUCCACUGCCCGGGCAUCGAGGAGGCCGACUUCCCGGAGAGGCCCCGCAUAAUCUGCUCCCACAAGGACCUCCUCCUCCUCUGGGUCACCUUCAAAUUCGGCCCCUACGACGAGGAGGGGCUCCGCGAGUACUUCGUCUACAAAGCCGGAACCGGGCGGCCGUCACUCCACCUGCUCCCAGAUCCCCUUCCGUUCGUCGCCAGAGCCUGGGAGGUCGGCCUCGUGCCCCACGGCGACGACGGCCAUUUCUUGCUGGCCGCUCUCUGCUUAACACAGACCCCUUGGGUCUACGACCUGCAUCUCUUCUCGUCUACGACAUGGGCUUGGAGCACCAAGGUGGCAUCAGCAGACAUGCCAGACAAGGUAAAUUCUCGGACGCAACCAGAUGUGAUUCACAAGGUGAUUUCGCUUGGAGGAGGCACACUGGGCUGGGUUGAUCUUUGGAGGGGAAUUUUGCUCUGCAAUGUGCUCGACGAGGUGCCUGUGGUUCAGGUAAUCCGGCUGCCUAUGCUGAUGCCUGGCAAUAAGGGUGGUCUUAGAGUAUGUCCGUGGAACGUUCGUGACAUUGGGUGCAGCGAUGGCUUGAUUAAACUUGUUGAGGUGGAAACUUAUGAAAGACCGGUUGAUGAACCGGCGUAUCAUGAUGACAUGCUUGUAGUUUAUGAUUCAGAUCUUUUGGCAGAGCGGCCGGUGCGGGACAAUGUUGGUUGGAAGAUAAUAACAUGGCAUCAGAUCAGCGACGAAGGCGAAGAGUUAGCUUUGAAAAAUGUGUCUGCAUCUUUCCCUGUUCUGAGUUUAAACUGCCACUGUGAUGAUAAUGUUUACCUGCUGUGUAACUUGAAAUCUGACACUAGAAAGAUAUGGUUGGUCGCUGUUGACCUGAAGAUGAAGCAACUGAUAGAUCUGGCACCAUUUUCUAUCGGAGGAUAUUUCAGUCCAGCUUACCCAUGUCAGUUAUCCAAAUAUCUGAAAAAAGACGCUCUAGCGUUUAAGAAUUUAACAGUCCUCUACAUGUCUUAUCAUUGCAACUUCUGCUGGGUCACGCAGUUAAAAAAUACUACAAAUGCUGCAUACAUGGCAACAACAACUGAGGCAAAUAGGCUGGUGCUUAUGCAAGGGACACAGCUGAUGGAGCAGAUUGCACUGAAUGUCUUCGAUACUGCGAGAGGAUAG